rnacentral:lncRNA from 1 species
CACUACUCUUGCACCUUGGAGUCAUUAUUUAAUAAGUGAAGUGAAGAUUAUUUCAGCACACUCACUACAAUACCAUGAUAGUUGACCUCAUAAUUGAGAUGGCUACUAAGUGAAAAUGAGCAGCCGGUGUGUACAGUAUUGAUAGGUUGGACAAAGGGAUGAUUCACAUGGUGGGUAGGAUGGAGUGGGAUGGCUUUAGGUUUCAUCACAUGUUCAGAAUGACACACAAUUUAAAACUUCUGAAUUGAUUAUUUCUGGAAAUUUUUAAUACUUUUAGACUACAGUUGACCAUGGGUAAAUGAAACCUCAAAAAGUGAAACUGGACAGAGGAAGAUAGCUGUAUUGUUUCUUGCUUUCUGCUACUUGCUGUAACCCCAAAUCAUAUGAAAUUACUGGCUUAACUAGACACUGGACUAUAUGUGGUUAUAGAUGAUCUAUGGUAGUAAUGAAAAAUUCUAGGGAAAAAAUGGACACUAGGAAACUGAGAAGAGAGAAGACUGGUGACAGUGUGUUUUCAACAAAAUUUCUCACAAUACUUGCCAGUUCAGAACGAGGAGAAGAUAAAGAAAAAAGAAAGUCUAGGAAUUACUUUUAACCUCAAGGGAAGAGGAUUCAGCAUGACUACAAUGUGUGCAUCAAGGAAUUAGUGUUAUUGCAAGAAAUAUUCUCAACUUGUGAGGUUAGGCUUGAUGGUUUUACUCUGUAUUCUUCUAGUUCCUUGGAAUAAGAAUCAUAAUGUUCUUUAGUUGUUUUCCUUGGUGGCUCACCAAAAGCAGAAAAUGUUUUUUGUAAAAUGGAAUAGGCAAAGCUUGCUUUAGUUUGAAAUUCCACAGGAGUAAAUUAUUUAUGAAUGUUGAUAUUGUUAUUGUAAAGAACUAAACAUAUUUAGUUAUGUACUAUGGCAUAUUUUUUCUUUCUUUUAAAUUUUAUCUUAAAAUUUAAAAAUGAACUGUAGUAGAUACCAUUUUGGGUUUUUGUCACCUCUGCUGAGAUGCACCCUGUUCUUUAGCCCUUUACUAUAACUCCCAUCUAUAGGUUGGUUCCCUGUUAUGGUUUAGAUAUUAUGUAUCCCCCAAAAGCUCACAUGGGAAACAAUGCAAGAAUGUUUAGAGGUGAAAUGAUUGGGUUAUGAAAGUCUUAACCAAAUCAAGGCAUUAAUCCCCUUAUAGAGAUUAACUGGAUGGUAACUUUAGGGUGUGUCUGGAGGAGAUAGAUCCCUGAAAGUGUACCUUUGGGGUUUAUAUUUUUGUCCUUUUUGAGCAGAGUGCUCGCUCUCUCUCUCUCUCUCUCUCCUUCCUGGUGCCAUAUUUUCAGCUACUUUCUUCUGCCACACACUUCUGAUAUGAUGCUCUGCCUCAUCCCAGACCUUGAGGAAUAGAGUCGGCCACCUAUGGACUGAGACUCUAAAACCAUGAGCCCCCAAAUAAAUGUUUCCUCUAAAAUUGUGCUUGUCAUGUCUUUUGGUCACAACAGUUAAAAAGCUGAUCAAACCAUCUAUUAGGUAUAUUGAUAUGAGAGGACCUUUCUCCCUACCUGACCAUAGUGAUUGGAUGAGGUUUGGUCAUUGAUAGAUUCUGAAUCAAUGAGAUUCCCACGUCUGGAAUUUGGAGUUGGGACAUAAAGGCUUUUGCUAUUCUCUGUUGAACACUAAAACUAUAACCAAACAUGAGUUUUAAAUCAGGCUAAACCCAAAUAAGAAAUCAUUCUGCAGGGAGAGAAAGGAAUGAAGCCAAUUGUCUGAGAAAACUAAUUAACCCUGAGUUAUGGGGCUCCUUUAGAAAGGGAAAGAGAGGAGAGAGGAGCUUUCUGGUCCCCUUCAAAUUUCCCCUGGCCACUACCCCACAAAUGGCCCUACUGCCCAAUUCCAUGAGCUCUUACCCUGUAUCCUUGUAUUGAAUGACACUUUUUUGGUUAAAUUAGUUAGAAUAUAUAACUUCUGCACUAUUUAAGAUAUAUUUUAUCACUUCAUUUAAAAGAAACCUAAAUAUUUUAUUUUUCUACAAGAAGUAAAACACAUUUUGAAAACUUCGGUCUAAAGGAAUAGCAUAAAGCCUAUGAAAAAACCUGCAAAUAUUACAGUCUUUUGAAUAAAGACAACAAAAUGGCAGAGUAAGAAGCUCUAAGCUCUUGUUCUCCCACAGAGACAUCAAAACACACAUAUGCACACAUACACACAAACACAAGCAGAAACUGUUAGAACUGAUUUUGCGAGAGUUCUGAAAAAUAGAUAAAGGUAAACAGCAACCAACUAAGCACUUAAUCAAGAAAAAGGCACAUGAAACCAGUAGGAAUGUUUCAUGGUGAUUUUGCUUGUCCUUACACUACCCCCUUUCCCUCAUGGAGAUAUUUAGAGUGGCAAUAGUCUUGUGGCAAUAGUAUGGCAAAGCAGCAGCAGUUAUACAAUUGCUACAGUCAUAAAGAAGCAACAUUCUGACAGCAGUACAGUCUAAAAGCAUUAGUAGCCCCUAUUCCUAGUGUGGAGCUGUUUACCAGGUUCGAAAAGGAGCAAGCAAAGCAGACCUUGUUUGCA